GGAGCCCAGCCCUGGACUCCCAGCUCAGCCCACUCAGUGAUCAGGACUGAACACAGCUGCUCACCAUGGAGAGUGUGCUCAGCUGGGUUUUCCUGGUGGCUGUUUUCAAAGGUGUCCAGUGUGUGGUGCAGCUGGUGGAGUCUGGGGGAGGCCUGGUGCAAUCUGGUGCACCUGACCCUGCAGCUCUGCACAGGAGCCCAACCCUGAGACUCUCCUGUGCAGCCUCUGGAUUCACCUUCAGUGAUUACUACAUGCACUGGGUCUGCCAGGCUCCAGGGAAGGGGCUGGAGUGGGUCUCAUACAUUAGUGGUGGUAGCAGUGACAUAAACUAUGCCAACUCCGUGAAGGGCCAAUUCACCAUCUCCAGAGACAACUCCAAGAACACACUGUACCUGCAAAUGAGCAGUCUGAGAGUCGAGGACACUGCCACCUAUUACUGUGCCAGAGACACAGUGAGGGGACCUCAGUGUGAGGCCUGA